rnacentral:rRNA from 1 species
UACGUAGGGGGCAAGCGUUGUCCGGAAUUAUUGGGCGUAAAGCGCGCGCAGGCGGUCUGUUAAGUCUUCUGUUUAAUACGCGGGCUCAACCCGUGUUCGCAGAGGAAACUGGGAGACUUGAGUGCAGGAGAGGAAAGUGGAAUUCCACGUGUAGCGGUGAAAUGCGUAGAGAUGUGGAGGAACACCAGUGGCGAAGGCGACUUUCUGGCCUGUAACUGACGCUGAGGCGCGAAAGCGUGGGGAGCAAACAGG